rnacentral:rRNA from 1 species
UACGUAGGGCGCAAGCGUUGUCCGGAAUUAUUGGGCGUAAAGAGCUCGUAGGCGGCUUGUCACGUCGGGUGUGAAAGCCCGGGGCUUAACCCCGGGUCUGCAUUCGAUACGGGCUAGCUAGAGUGUGGUAGGGGAGAUCGGAAUUCCUGGUGAAGCGGUGAAAUGCGCAGAUAUCAGGAGGAACACCAACGGCGAAGGCAGCUCGCUGGGACGGUACUGACACUGAGGCGCGAAGGCGUGGGGAGCGAACAGG